CCUACGGGAGGCAGCAGUGAGGAAUAUUGGUCAAUGGACGAGAGUCUGAACCAGCCAAGUAGCGUGAAGGAUGACUGCCCUAUGGGUUGUAAACUUCUUUUAUAUGGGAAUAAAAUGUUCCACGUGUGUGAUUUUGUAUGUACCAUAUGAAUAAGGAUCGGCUAGCUCCGUGCCAGCAGCCGCGGUAAUACGGAGGAUUCGAGCGUUAUCCGGAUUUAUUGGGUUUAAAGGGAACGUAGGUGGAUUGUUAAGUCAGUUGUGAAAGUUUGCGGCUCAACCGUAAAAUUGCAGUUGAAACUGGCAGUCUUGAGUACAGUAGAGGUGGGCGGAAUUCGUGGUGUAGCGGUGAAAUGCUUAGAUAUCACGAAGAACUCCGAUUGCGAAGGCAGUUCACUGGACUGCAACUGACACUGAGGCUCGAAAGUGUGGGUAUCAAACAGGAUUAGAUACCCUGUC
rnacentral:rRNA from 1 species